rnacentral:tRNA from 1 species
CCUGGUGGCUUAGAUGGUAAAGAAUCUACCUGCAAUGCAGGAGACCCAGGUUCAAGCCCUGGGUCAGGA